rnacentral:tRNA from 1 species
GCCUUCGUGGUAUAGUGGUCAGCACACUGAGCCGGUAUUUCAGAGGUCCGUGGUUCGAUCCCCGGCGAAGGCA